rnacentral:rRNA from 1 species
ACGGAGGCAGCAGUGGGGAAUAUUGCACAAUGGGCGGAAGCCUGAUGCAGCGACGCCGCGUGAGGGAUGACGGCCUUCGGGUUGUAAACCUCUUUCAGCAGGGACGAAGCGAGAGUGACGGUACCUGCAGAAGAAGCGCCGGCCAACUACGUGCCAGCAGCCGCGGUAAGACGUAGGGCGCGAGCGUUGUCCGGAUUUAUUGGGCGUAAAGAGCUCGUAGGCGGCUUGUUGCGUCGGCUGUGAAAACCCGUGGCUUAACUGCGGGCUUGCAGCUGAUACGGGCGGGCUAGAGUUCGGUAGGGGAGACUGGAAUUCCUGGUGUAGCGGUGAAAUGCGCAGAUAUCAGGAGGAACACCGGUGGCGAAGGCGGGUCUCUGGGCCGAUACUGACGCUGAGGAGCGAAAGCGUGGGGAGCGAACAGGAUUAGAUACCCCCGUAC